AGACACUACCUCGUGGAGUGGUCAUCAGAGUACCGUGAGUCAGAGUAGUAGGGAUUUUGGCUCAUCGGGGCUUUGGUGAUGACAGGCCUAGGCGAGGAAUUCUGCAGAUGCUGGAAAUUCAAGCAACAUACAUCAAAGUUGCUGGUGAACGCAGCAGGCCAAGCAGCAUCUAUAGGAAGAGGUGCAGUCGACGUUUCAGGCCGAGACCCUUCGUCAGGACUAACUGAAGGAAGAAUGUGUAAUGGAGAGUAUACUGACUGACUGCAUCACAGUCUGGUAUGGAAACACCAACAUCCUUGAAUGGAAAAUCCGACAAAGAUUGGUGGAUACAGCCCAGUCUAUCACGGGUAAAGUCCUCCCCAUCAUUAAGCACAUCGACAUGAAGCGUUGUCAUAGGAAAGCAACAUCUACCUUCAGGGACCCCUACCACCAGGUCAUGCUCUCUUCUCACUGCUACCAUCAGGAAGAAGGUACAGGAGCAUCAGGACUCGCACCAUCAGGUUUGGGAACAGUUAUUAACCCUCAUCCAUCAGGCUCUUGAACCAAAGGGAUAACUUCAUUUAACUUCACCAUCAGUGAAAUGUUCCACAAUCUAUGGACACACUUUCAAGGACACUUCAUCUCAUGUUCCUGAUGUUUAUUUACCAUUAUUCUUUAUUUGUACAAUUUGUUGUGUUUUACCUACUAGUUGAACAUCCAAGUCUUCAUUGAUUCUAUUUUGUUUAUUAUUCUAUUAUGGAUUUAUUGAGAAUGCCCACAAGAAAAUAAAUCUCAGGGUUGUAUAUACUGACAUAUAUGUACCUCAAUGAUAAAUUUACUUUACACUUUGAAAUUGUUACUUGUUGUACA